UACGAAGGGGGCUAGCGUUGCUCGGAAUUACUGGGCGUAAAGGGCGCGUAGGCGGCCGCCUAAGUCAGACGUGAAAUCCCUCGGCUCAACCGGGGAACUGCGUCUGAUACUGGGUGGCUUGAAUCCGGGAGAGGGAUGCGGAAUUCCAGGUGUAGCGGUGAAAUUCGUAGAGAUCGGGAGGAACACCCGUGGCGAAGGCGGCCAUCUGGACCAGCACUGACGCUGAGGCACGAAAGCGUGGGGAGCAAACAGG
rnacentral:rRNA from 1 species